rnacentral:rRNA from 1 species
AGUGAACGCUGGCGGUAGGCCUAACACAUGCAAGUCGAACGGCAGCACAGUAAGAGCUUGCUCUUACGGGUGGCGAGUGGCGGACGGGUGAGGAAUACAUCGGAAUCUACUUUUUCGUGGGGGAUAACGUAGGGAAACUUACGCUAAUACCGCAUAUGACCUACGGGUGAAAGCAGGGGAUCUUCGGACCUUGCGCGACUGAAUGAGCCGAUGCCGGAUUAGCUAGUUGGGGGGGUAAAGGCCCACCAAGGCGACGAUCCGUAGCGGGUCUGAGAGGAUGAUCGGCCACACUGGAACUGAGACACGGUCCAGACUCCUACGGGAGGCAGCAGUGGGGAAUAUUGGACAAAGGGCGCAAGCCUGAUCCAGCCAUACCGCGUGGGUGAAGAAGGCCUUCGGGUUGUAAAGCCCUUUUGUUGGGAAAGAAAAGCAGCAGGUUAAUACCCCGCUGUUCUGACGGUACCCAAAGAAUAAGCACCGGCUAACUUCGUG